UAGGGAAUUUUUCACAAUGAGCGAAAGCUUGAUGGAGCAAUGCCGCGUGAACGAUGAAGGUCUUUAAGAUUGUAAAGUUCUUUUAUUUGGGAAGAAUGACUUUAGCAGGUAAUGGCUAGAGUUUGACUGUACCAUUUUGAAUAAGUGACGACUAACUAUGUGCCAGCAGUCGCGGUAAUACAUAGGUCGCAAGCGUUAUCCGGAUUUAUUGGGCGUAAAGCAAGCGCAGGCGGAUUGAAAAGUCUGGUGUUAAAGGCAGCUGCUUAACAGUUGUAUGCAUUGGAAACUAUUAAUCUAGAGUGUGGUAGGGAGUUUUGGAAUUUCAUGUGGAGCGGUGAAAUGCGUAGAUAUAUGAAGGAACACCAGUGGCGAAGGCGAAAACUUAGGCCAUUACUGACGCUUAGGCUUGAAAGUGUGGGGAGCAAAUAGGAUUAGAUACCCUAGUAGUCCACACCGUAAACGAUAGAUACUAGCUGUCGGGGCGAUCCCUUCGGUAGUGAAGUUAACACAUUAAGUAUCUCGCCUGGGUAGUACAUUCGCAAGAAUG
rnacentral:rRNA from 1 species